GUGUUCGCUUCGGCAGCACACACAUAUACUAAAACUGGAACCAUACAGAGAAGCUUAGCAUGGCCCUGCACAAGGAUGACAUGCAAAUUUGUGAAGCGUUCCACAUUUUU